CUCCAGGAAGCAGCUCCCCUGUCCUCCCGCGCGAUGCUGUGUGGAGCGUUGCCAUGGUAACGCGCGGCAACGCUCCACACAGCAUCGCGCGGGAGGACAGGGGAGCUACUUCCUGGAG
rnacentral:miRNA from 1 species